rnacentral:rRNA from 1 species
CGCCUGUUUAUCAAAAACAUGUCUUUUUGUUAAUUAUUUAAGGUUUGGCCUGCUCAAUGAAUUAUUAAAUAGCCGCAGUAUUUUGACUGUGCAAAGGUAGCAUAAUCAUUAGUUUUUUAAUUGAAAGCUGGAAUGAAGGGCUGGAUGAGAAAAAAGCUGUCUCAUAUUAAUUUUCAUUUAAUUUUAUCUUUAAGUUAAAAAGCUUGGAUUUUAUAAAAAGACGAGAAGACCCUUUAGAGUUUAAUAAAUAUAGAUUUCAAUUGUAUGAGGUUUACUAUUAUUAUUAAAGUUUAAUUUAUUUUGUUGGGGUGACACAAGAAUUGAAUUAACUUCUUUUUAUGUUAACAUUGAUAAAUGAAUAAAUGAUCCUUCAGUUUGGAUUACAAGAAUAAAUUACCUUAGGGAUAACAGCGUAAUUCUUUUAGAGAGUUCAAAUCAAUAAAAGGGAUUGCGACCUCGAUGUUGGAUUAAAGUAAAAUUUAGGCGCAGAAGCUUAAGUUUUGAGACUGUUCGACUUUAAAAACUUUCGUGAUCUGAGUUCAGACCGG